CUUGUCAGGACCAUGGGCCCCCACAUUGCAGAUGAUGAAGUGAGAUCACAUUUGGACGAGCAGAGGGUGAAGAGGAAGAAGAGAGAGGAGAGAUAAGAGAAUCGGAUACUCUAUGCCAUCGGCGCAUUUUAGCACGCCGGCCGGCAUGAGCUUCGUUUCCGGCAGGAAAAAGACUUCCGGAGGUUCUUUCUCUGUAGUUUUUCCUUUAUUCCUUGUAGUAAUGAAAUUUCAAUCGAAUGCAUGGAGAGAUUUGAGUUCUGACGUAGAGAUCUAGGGCUUUUUUAUUUUUAUUUUUAUUUUAUUUUUUAUUUUUUUUUACGCGUUUUAAACAAAGAAUUUGCAUUUUCAAGAGCUAUGCGAUUCUGAUAAUUGUGUUGAAAGAAUUGAAGUGUUUGUGAAGAUAAACAUUUGCAGAUUACUGGUGAAGAAUUAACAUUUUUUCUUGCUGAAUAUUUUUCUUAAGAAUUGUGAAUAAUAUAUUAAGCCUCCUGCUAAUUAUGCGUGAUCUCAAGUAUUUGAGAAUAGAGGUUCCGAUUUGGCCAUAUUAUAUAUCCGCUAUUUUCAAGGAGGAAUUUUGACUUGGUUGCAAAAGGAAAGGCCAAAAAUUGACAGAGUUGAAGCAAAAGCAAAUUGUUUCCGCAAAGUUGAAAGCUUCAUUUAGCUUAUUUAGGUGGAGUUUUCUUUAAUUUGGAGUUCAAAAUCUGAAUAGGAAGCUAUGCUGAAGUUUAAUCGAGACUUCAGAUUUAACAUAAAAAUUGAUUAUUUAUUUAUCAUUAUUUUCUUUUAUAUUUGGAGAAAAUAUUUGAAAAUAAGACUUAAAUUGAAAAAUGAUCUGUGCUAAAACAUCUGAAAUAUAUUAAGAUUUCAGACAAAGAAAACAAACAAACAAACAAAAAACAAACAGGGCCUUAAUGUUAAAUGCUAAAAUAACAUUGAAUUGUGUCAAAUUAGGAGAUGUAUAAUUCAGAAUAUUGAAACUUCCCACUUCUGCAUAGUGGCAGAGAAUAAGUGUUAAAACAAAGUUCUACUUGUUAUUCUGAUACACUGUCUUUAUAUAGCAUGUGGACACUAAAUUUGAGUAGGCAUGGGCUGAUGGCAGCUGCUUGUGAUAAUCUUUGGCCUGUGAAAACCUUGUAACGUGAAGUGUUAUGGAAGAGGUAAAAUUUAUGUUUCCUGAUGUUAUGCCCAUUAGGAAUCAAGGUUUGUUCAACAUAAUAAAUCUGAACUUAAAUAGGGUAGCAUGUGAGGACUUGCACACUAUGAGGGACAAUUUGUUGAAAGAAGAAAUGGAAUAACUAAUGAGAGGAAAUAUAUGUUGAGGGUUUGGUUAGAAGAAUAGCAAUGAGAUUAGUAAGAUUGAUUCUUACCUAUAUUCACUUUCUUCUUUUCCCAAACCAAUUUAUCAGAGCUUUUUGUUAUUUAAAAGGUAUUGUCAUUUGCAAGCUACAAUGCUUUGUUCUGAAAAAGGGAAUCUUCAUGGGACUAAAUAUAUGGGAUAAGCUCCACAUUUGUCUGACCUAAAGAUGUUCUGAUGUUGAUGUGUUUUUGUUUCAAGGAUCAGUGAGAGUAAUGGCUAAUGACUUUAUUAGAACAUGGCAUCAGGUUGAAAAAUUGUAUUGGUUAAAACCAUAGCUCAAGGGAGUGGCUCUGCAAAUUCAGUUGACUUGAGAUGAAUGAGGAGUGGCAGCUCACGAAUGAGGGAUCUACUUCUUCAUAACACCAGACAGCCUCAGCAGGCCUAGCAUUGUCACCAUAUGCUGGAAGAAACACAAUCUGUGUCUGUCUCAUUGGAUGGUUCCAGAUAUACACUGUUUUGACAUUGGAGCUACUGUUUGUUGUCUUGCUCUCAUAGUCAGCCUAUCAAUCUUAAUAGAACAUUUACAGCCAUGAUAUUUCUGAAAUUGACUAUGAUCUGAACCUUUCUGGCAUUGAAGUAGACACAGGCAAAUGGGGGGAGGCCAUGAAAGGUGUCAACAGGGUUAUGGCCCAGAUGAACUUGCCAAUUGCCAAUCACUGCAGAGGAUAAGCAAGAGUUUGAGAGGCAGAAUGACAAGAUGAGAAUGGUGGUAGUCUUUACUCCCUCAUAAAAUUUGAAUGCAAGAAAAGGAGCUUCACUUCAGAAAACAAGAAAAAGACCAGCUAUGCAACAUUCGUGAGUCUGUCACUCAAUGCUAUACAACCUAAUGUCUGGAAUGGUGGAUAGUUGUUUUUGUUGAUGUUUUUUGUUUCCUGUUUCAAGCAAAGAUUGCAUUCUAAGAGUCCAUAACCCUUGAUGCAUCCUGCUACAUUUGAACAAAGAGCUAUUUAUAUGAACAUUCUUUUGCAUCUACAAUUUUGCUGAAACUUUCAGUGCUUUUUACAUUUGACUGAAGAAACUUCAAUCGAGCUUUGUUGAUCACUGUGACUUACGGGUAAUUCCCUUCUGAAGCCACUUCUUCUAGAGGUUCACGGCAAAGUGGACAGUCAGAAUGAGAAUAAAGCCACAUAUUAAUACACGGCGCAUGGAAGGAAUGGUUACAACGUGGGAGUUGCUGCAGAUCUUCACCAUCUUCAAACCCUAACAAGCAUAUUACACAGUCUGCAUCAGAAGCUUCAUCUUCUGGGGUGUUGAACCCUUUCUUGUACUUAAAUGAGGAAACCAGAUACCGGUUUAGGCUUCUGGAAGCAAAGCUCUUCUCCCCAAGAGAACUGAGAGAACUGUUUAACCGCUGUUGAGAUAUCUCCUGAUGAGAUAGCUGCUGGUAAACACACCAGCCGAUCAUGAAGAGAAUGUAGACUGCAAGGCCGGAGCCGACAAUUGCGGCCACCAGAAGGUCAUGGUGGUUGAGCAACAUCAUUUGUUACUAUCUCAAGGUGAUGGUAAGUUCAGGGCAUGAUGACAUGUUGGAAGGUGCCUGAAAGGGGGUUAGAAAUUCGGAAUUUGUGUGUGGAGAGUGGAUGGGAUUUUCAAGGGUUUCGAUGAUGGAAAUUACUCCCAACUUUGGAUUCUUCUGCUUUGGGCCUAACAGAAAAAUGAAUCUUGUAGCUUCAUCAACAAGAACUAGAAAAACAGGACACAGCAGUUGUUGUCAAAGUUCACCUUUUCCAAGGUGGUUUAAAAUGCUUCCUGUUGGUAUAAUUAAAGUCUCAUUAGAUUGUGUUUGGUUA